UACGGAGAGUGCAAGCGUUGUUCGGAAUUAUUGGGCGUAAAGCGCGUGUAGGUGGCUCAACAAGUCUGGCGUGAAAGCCCGGAGCUCAACUCCGGAAGUGCGCUGGAAACUGUCGAGCUUGAGUACCGGAGGGGAGAGCGGAAUUCACGAGUGUAGAGGUGAAAUUCGUAGAUAUUCGGAAGAACAUCAGUGGCGAAGGCGGCUCUCUGGACGGAUACUGACACUGAGACGCGAAAGCGUGGGGAGCAAA
rnacentral:rRNA from 1 species